GGGCGUAAAGGGUGCGUAGGCGGCUAUAAAAGUUUGGUGUGAAAUCUCCGGGCUCAACCCGGAAACUGCAUUGAAAACUAGAUAGCUAGAGGAUCGGAGAGGAGAUUGGAAUUCUCAGUGUAGCAGUGAAAUGCGUAGAUAUUGAGAGGAACACCAGUUGCGAAGGCGGAUCUCUGGACGGUUUCUGACGCUGAGGCACGAAAGCUGGGGUAGCGAAGAGGAUUAGAUACCCUCGUAGUCCCAGCCGUAAACGGUGCGCACUUGCUGUGGGCGGAUUCGACCCCGUCUGUGGCGAAGCUAACGCGAUAAGUGUGCCGCCUGGGGAGUACGGUCGCAAGAUUAAAACUCAAAGAAAUUGACGGGGGCCUGCACAAGCGGUGGAGUAUGUGGCUUAAUUCGAUGCAACGCGAAGAACCUUACCUGGCCUUGACAUGUAGUGGACCGGGUGCGAAAUCACCCUUUCCUUCGGGACUGCUACACAGGUGCUGCAUGGCUGUCGUCAGCUCGUGUCGUGAGAUGUUGGGUUAAGUCCCGCAACGAGCGCAACCCUUGUGUUCUGUUGCCACCCGGAUGAGAAUCCGGAGCACUCUGGACAGACUGCCUGGUUUCAACCAGGAGGAAGGUGGGGAUGACGUCAAGUCAGUAUGGCCCUUACGGCCAGGGCUGCACACGUACUACAAUGCCUGAUAUAAUGGGAAGCGAGACCGCGAGGUGGAGCAAAUCCUCAAAAUCAGGCCCAGUUCAGAUUGUAGGCUGCAACUCGCCUACAUGAAGGAGGAAUCGCUAGUAAUGCCGUAUCAGCUACGACGGCGUGAAUACGUUCCCAGGCCUUGUACACACCGCCCGUCACAUCAUGAAAGUCGAUUGUACCCGAAGUCGCUGCGUUAACCGCAAGGAGACAGGUGCCGAAGGUAUGGUUGGUAAUUGGGAUGAAGUCGUAACAAGGUAGCCGUAGGGGAACCUGUGGCUG
rnacentral:rRNA from 1 species